AAGCCCCCCCGAGUCGUGGCCCGGCAGCGUGGACAGCCUUCCUCCCCGGGCGCAGGGGCCCUGACUCACCCUCGCCGCGCCACUGCGACCAGCUCUGACCCCUCCUCUGACAGUCCCGUGUUCACCGGAACACCGUCACCGAAAGUAGAGAGAGAGGGUCACAGCAGAGGCUGUCUUAAUAAAGUGCCGGUGUUCCAGCAGAAAGGGAUUUCCGGAUCCUCUCCCGGGUGCUGAUGGAUCAAGUUGGAAUAACAGGGCACUGCAAGGCAGGGCUUUGAAAACAAUCAGAUGUGCACAGAUCAAGCACAGCUGAUAGUGCAGCACAGUGGACUCCAGUGGAGCUGGCAUGGCUACAGAUCAGCUGUGCGUGACAAGCUGAAACAGAGCCCACUAAUGGUGGAGAAAAUGUUGGAAAAGAUCUCAAAAGCCAUGCCUCCUGUUUUAGACAAGAAAAUCAAUAUUAGAUCUCUUGUUUCACAUCUCAUAAACGUUCAAUAACCAUACCGUUUAAGAGGGAGUGAUCUAAAGUUGAAGCAGUCACAUUGUAGCACUUGGGCAGCCCGACAGCUAUUUAUGUAUCUUUCAAAGUAUCCACUUUGUGUAGUAACAAAAUCAGAGAACUAACAAAAAUGAUAGUGAUGGCUGAAUUGACCUGCUUUCCAUUGUUCCUCAGGUUUAUAAAGCAUGUAAAUACCUGGGCUUGGUGCAGACUGGCAACAUGAAAACAAAACCUCUGUCACGUGGUUAGCAUGGCUGUUUCGGUGACUGGAAUGAGGGUUUUCACUUAAGGUAUUGCACCAAGGAAUCACUGUCAAGGGUAUAUAAAAGUAUAUAAGUGAAGCACUUCUUUUUCAAGAAACAGGUUGCUGAAGCCUGCAGUAAAUUAAGAAAUUAGAUAUUUAAACCCUUUUCUAUCUAAUUAAUAUCAAGAGCUUUCUUGCACGCUGUCCAAGGAGUAAACACUUAAUUAAAAGCAGCUCUUAAUU